rnacentral:misc_RNA from 1 species
GAUGAAGAACGUAGCGAAACGCGAUAUGUAAUGUGAAUUGCAGAAUUCAGUGAAUCAUCGAAUCUUUGAACGCACAUGGCGCCUUCCAGUAUCCUGGGAGGCAUGCCUGUCCGAGCGUCGUUUCAACCCUCGAGCCCUCGUGGCCCGGCGUUGGGGAUCUGCCACGGCAUGCCCCGAAAUACAGUGGCGGACCCGUUAGGCCCUUCCUUUGCGUAGUAGCAUCAGCCUCGCAUCGGGAGCCGGCGGGCUCUCCUGCCUCUAAACCCCCCAACAAGCCCGCUCCGGCGGCACCAAGGUUGACCUCGGAUCAGGUAGGAAUACCCGCUGAACUUAAGCAUAUCAAUAAGCGGAGGA